UAGAGGGAGUUGCUAGCCUAAUGGCUGCAACACCAGGAUGGGGCACUUUCUCUGCAUCUGGGCAGAGAUCUAGGGUCUGUGAGGCUGGAAGCAGCAGCAGCAUCACACCAGAGAGUUCACUGCAGAGGGAAAGAAGGAACACUGUGGUUCUGAGAGAACAACAGAGGGCUGAAGUCACUUUUUCAGAGUCUGGGAGAAGGUCCAGGACUGUGGAUAAAGUUGGAAAGUUUAUGUUGGCAUUGGAAUACUAGGCUUGAGAUGAUGAGAUGGCACUCUAAAGUUUCAGAACUAAUAAUAUGCACCUAUGAAUAAAGCUGAACAAAGAAGGUAAAAGAAACAUAAGGAAGCUGGCUCCUUCCUCUUCGUUGCUUCAUUGGUGGGGCCAGACUCUUCAGAGAUCUAACGUAUGUCAGUUCUGAAUGAUCAAACACAACUUUUGUUUUUAAUACUAGAUCUUGCCUUGAAAGUCUUGUUUAUGGAGCCCAAUCCUGGUUCGCUUAGGCCAAUGGAAGAUUUUUCCUGUGACAUCAAGGAGAGCAGAAGAAAGUCCAGUGCUUGCUUUAAAGAACAUUGUAGAUAAGUAAAAAGACAAAAAUGUUUGUCAAAAUUUGUCUUCCUUGCAAAUGCACAGGAGGAGAAAAAGCUGUCAAAUGACAGGUUUAAUGUGGAAUUAUUUUAGCAGUCUGGUUUUCUUUACAUUACUGUUAUACUUAUGUUUCAAUAAAAGGUUACUUUAAGAUUCAUUUUUUAAACCACAAGAAUAAUGCUUUUAACCUUUUUGAGUAACCACAACUGCUGCUGUGAAAAAAUUGUGACAUGAUGUGCUUCCCUGGCUGCCUGUGAUUUUUUUUUUUUAUUUAUUUACAUGGCAAAUCCCACUGUACCAAAUCAGACACCUUUCACAAAGGUGACUUUGGUUUGAUAUGUACCUCCCUUAAGUGAACAUGGUUCUCACAAUUAGCAGAUUAAGACAUGAGCGGAUCCAGAAUUUUUUCAAGGGAACAGUGACUAGUACUGCAGGGGUGGCUGCACCCUGGCUCUUGCAUGCUCCCUCACCAGUGGGGCAGGCAGAUCACACUAUGGAAGCAGCAGCCAGAAACUUUUUAAAGUCCAUGAAGCAGGUAAGAAUCUCCCCCUGCUGCUUAACAACCCCUCCCAUCCCAUCCUCUCCCAUUUCCCUCUGUCCCACUUGCUGCUGCCACUGUCCCCAGCUGCCCUAUGGGGUGAGGGGACUUCCAGAGCUGCUGCUGCCCAGCUUCAGUUGGGACUGUGGGGAAUCAGGCUCAGCUGGGGACAGUGGGAGUGGCAAGCAGGUUCCCCCACUCCCUGUGUCUGCUCCUGGGCUUGCAGGAAAUACCCUGGAGGAUAGGUCAGGGAGAAGAAACCCGCCUGCUGCUGCUACCGCUAUCUCCAGCAGAGCCCAGUUCCCCACCUAGCCUGUCUGGAGAAGGGCAGGAGUAGUUUUGGGGUUCUACUUCCACCUCCCUAGGGCAGCCAGAAACAGUGGCAGCAGUGAGUGGGGAGGAUGGGAAUGGGAGAGGAGGGGAUGUGUAGCUGAGUACAGAGGUGAAUUGCCUGCUUCAGGAAUUUAAAAAGUCCCUGACUGCUGCUACACUGUGUCCAAAAGAAAGGCGUCACUCCUUCUGGAUCCACCUCCGAGAUGCUUAAGUUGAAUAGCAUAGUGACAGUAGUGACAGUGUAAGGUGCCAUCAAAUGGUCCAAAUUUUCUUCCACUGCAUCAAUACAAGCCUUAUGCACUGAUAUACAUUAUAGGCUCUUGAAGGAAGUUUAUUAGGUUUUUCUGAAGCAUUAAUCUUGUGUAUUGGAACCAUGUUUAGAGUUGGUUGGCAAAUAAACUGAGUAUGGAAGUGAGGUUGGUCCAGGAAGAAGGGAAAGUUGGAUUUUUAACUUGACCACUUAACCUUAUCCUUAAUUUAUUGUGGGUGCAUGUGUGGGUGCAUGUGUGUGGGUUUUUUGUUUUUCUUUUGGCUCAGCUUUUGUUUUUUGGUGGCUUCUAUUUUGGAUUGAGGGGGAGGAAAUUGGAUCAUAGACUCCAGAAAUAAAUGAAUUGCAUUGCUCAGUAGAAACAUUAACAAAAAAAUCACUAUUUUAAUGAAAUUUAUAAAAGAAACUGUAAACUAUUCCCUGUUCACAAUUCAUUAGUUAAAGUGGUGAUAUUUCAGACUUACACCUAACGGGAAAAAAGUUCAGAAUUUGGAAUGUGCCAUAUGCAAAUAUAAUUCUUUGGGGCUUUGUUUCUGUUUCCUGCAUAGAAGCCAUACUUUUAAUGGUACCAUUUUACUCUCUAUUGCUUAUGUCUAGACAGAAAUUGACCAUAAAGAAAUAUCAAUAUCGCAGAUUGCCCUGGUUAAGAGUUCUUGUUUGGCACCAUAGAAGUUUGAAUAUUUUAAUGGCACUUUUUGUAGCACAGUAGUAGUGAAUGGGUUUAUUUUCAAUUAGAAAUAAACUGAUUUUUGCAUUUUUCCCAAAUAAACAAAAUAUUCUGAAGAUAAAAAGCCGAUUAGGCUGCCAUAUUCCAGGUGUUUUUUUCAACACUGAAUUACAGGGCCUCUGAAUCCUAAAUUCAUUAGUAGCUUGCUGACUUUGCAGAGUUUGAUGGUAAAGAAACUGGCACAGCACAAAACCUCCUUAUUGAAGAAAGAUUAUAUAUUUUUAUGUAUUGACUUUUGCAUGAUUCAAUUUAUACUAAGUAUUACAAUGACUUUAAUAACUGCACUGUGGACUUUAAAAGCAAGUUUGCAUGUUGUGGUUAACUUUUCCUUUAUUAUGUGGUUUUAAAAAUGAUGGCCCAGUUUUUCAAAGCGUGAUAGAUAUACUGUAGAUGUUUCAGUUGGAUAAUGAAAAUGAAAAGCCUUAAAAAUGCUGGGGAUAAUAAUAAAACAAUUUGAGAUAGUGUAAAAACUAUCCAAUUAAGUUAUUUUUUUCAGUUUUCUUCACAAAUUAUAUUGGUUAAGAAACAGAACAGUAUUUCUCUUGUGUGUGUAUGUGUAUGUUUAGAACAUUCCAAUGCAAUUGUAGCUAUAAUUAAAUCAGAGAUAAUACAUCCAUUUCUAUCACCCUAGUCUAUUGAUUUAGAUUUUUUUCUGAAACUAUCUCUGUGGUAUUUGAGUGCUUUACAACUUCCUCCUACAAACAGCCAUGAUUCAUAGAAAUAUUGUACCCUUUAUUUAAAUUAUUCAAACAAGUUUUGCACUAUCAGGUCCAAUAUUUGAAUGAAAAGGGUAUAUCUUGUGCAAAACUUUCAUUAUUUAAUAUAUCUGAGUUUUGGGUUUGGCUAUUGUAAGAGGUAAAAGGAGGAGGCCACUAGAGCUCUGUGCUACCUUUGUGUCUCUUCGGUUUUGAGAUUUUUUUUAUAUUUUCUCAGAGAGUUGUGUAUUUAUAAAGAGGAAAAUAGAACUGGAAUGAAUGGGUUCAGUAAUACAAAAUGUAAUAAUUAUAGGUUGGUGUAGGUUCAAAUAAAUGAGUCUAGACUUUGGCUGGAUCCUUCAACUGUAUAUUUCAAGACUUAACAUUUUGCAGUUAUUUUUAAUAUGUCAAUUGUUUUCUAAAGAGUGGAGAAAUAACUUUUUGGGUACUGGAUGAACUUCAGCUAAAGCUUUUGACUGUUUCACAUUGCAUUCUCAGAAGCAAGUUAAAGGAAAAUGGUCUAGAUCAGGAGUUCCGAAACUGUGGUAUGUGUAUCCCUGGGGAUAAGUAGAAGAAACUGUGUAAUGGCAGAUUUAAUUUUUGUUAUAAUAAUAACUGGCAUUUAAGGGGUUAAAAUAUAAAACAUAUGCUGGUAGGGGUACGCACGCAGCUGGUAAAUCUGCCUGAAGGGGGUACACAAUAAGAAAAAGUUUUAGAACCUCUGGUCUAAAUGAAAUUCCUG